GAUGAACGCUGGCGGCGUGCCCAAUACAUGCAAGUCGAGCGAACGGACGAGAAGCUUGCUUCUCUGAUGUUAGCGGCGGACGGGUGAGUAACACGUGGAUAACCUACCUAUAAGACUGGGAUAACUUCGGGAAACCGGAGCUAAUACCGGAUAAUAUUUUGAACCGCAUGGUUCAAAAGUGAAAGACGGUCUUGCUGUCACUUAUAGAUGGAUCCGCGCUGCAUUAGCUAGUUGGUAAGGUAACGGCUUACCAAGGCAACGAUGCAUAGCCGACCUGAGAGGGGGAUCGCCGACUCUGGAGCUGAGCCGCCGUCCUGAGUCUGACGGACGGCAGCGGUUGGGAAGCGAGCGCAAUGGGCGAAAGCCUGCCGGAGGGACGCAGGGUGAGUGAUGAAGGGCUGCGGGUGGGAAAACUCUGUUCUUGGGGAAGAACAUAUGUGGAAGUAACUGUGCGCAUCUUGACGUUCCCUAAUCAGAAGGCCCCGGCUAACUCCGU
rnacentral:rRNA from 1 species